AUUGUUCAUUGUGGAAUCCCUGAGCAACAGUGCCUGGCCACAGUAACCAUCGGUAAACAUUUGCUGAAUAAACCAACACAGAACAAUGGAUCUAAAGACCACAAAACUCUGUCCUGGGUUUGAAUCCGAGCUUUGACAAUUUAUUGGCUGUGUUGCCUUUGAGAAAUUAUUUGCCUCUCUGAGACUCAAAUUCCUCCAAUUAGAAUAUGGUGGUGGGGGAGAGUCACCCCAUCAGGGUUGUGAUGAGGAUUAAUGAGAUUGUGUUUACAGCAGCACCUAACACACUGCUCUACAAAUUCCAAGCACUCAAAAAAUCGUUAUACUUAUUAUUUUCCAGAGAUAAGAUAAACCUUAAAACUUUACUAAGAUUAAAGUCACUUAAACUUGGACCUCUUUCUCUUUUUCAGAGUCUAGAGCAGUACAAAACCCAGCCAGAGGAUGUCUCUAUCAUUCCCACCCAGGUGGGGACUUCCACUCUUGGAAAAAUGCCUCCUUUUGUCUGAGAAAGAGAGCAGAUCAUCACAUCAUUUUCCUGAGAAUAGUGGAUCCCAUAUAUAACGGUUUAAAGCUGACAGAUAAAAAUUUCCAAGCUUCAUCUCCUCUUCCAGGACACCACCUGUACCCCAUUUCAGUGGAGAGCAGAUACUUUAUUCAGAAAUGCUAGCCAUUACUAAGCAUUCUGCUGUCCUGUUUCCUGUGGCUCCACCAGUUGGAUGAUGAUGCUUCUCUCCCCCACAUCUGUCAAGCCCUCCUAAUUACUCCUGCAGGUGGCCACGAUGAAAGGGCCUCUUUCCAUCACAGGUGCCAUCAUAAGCCUUACGCCCAGGACAGAAAUGUGACCUCAGUGACUACUGCCCUUCCUCUCUCCUGAUACCUGCCUUCCUUCUGCUCCCCGGCUGCUGUGCCUCGUUCUUCCUCACCUUCCUUCUAUGCUGAAAGAGUGUGAUAUAGCCAGUGGGGCCCUAGCUCUGAGAUCUGCUGGCCUGAGUUCAAGCGCUGGCUCACCCAUUGACUUAAGCAAGUAAGUCAAUUUCCCUAAAUAAAGCAAGUAAGCAAGUAAGUCAAUUUCCCUAAAUAGAGGCAACUACUUUCUGAUUUUUAUCAUCACAGUUACGUGUCUCCUAGAGCUGCAUAUAAAUGGAAUGUUACAGAUCAAUUCUUGUGUGUUUGGCUUCUUUUGAUCAACAUAAUGUUUCUGAGAUUCAUCCAUGGUGUUGAACCAAUAGUUUGUUUUUUAUUGCUGAGUAUAUCUAUCGCAUGCAUAAGCCACAACUUAUCUGUUUACCUACUGAUAGAUGUUUGUGUUGUUUCCAGUAUUGAGCUAUUACGAAUAGAGCUGCUAAUAAUAUUCAUGUUCAAGUCCUCUGUGUCUAUAUUUUGAUUUCUCCUCAGUAAAUACCCAGCAAUUUUACUACUGGGUCAGUUGUACAAAGUGGUCGUGCCAUUUUACAUGCCCAUCAGCAAUGUGUGAGUGUUUCAGUCUCUCAUCCUCACCUUGGUAUUGAGAAUAAAGUAGUAUUAGUGGUUUUGCAAGGAGGUUUUCAUUUGCAUUUUCCUGAUGAUUUAUGAUGUUAACCACCUUCAUGUAAUUAUUGGCCACUCAUAUAUCUUUUGCUAAAUGUCAAUUUAAGCCUUUUGCCCAUUUUAUUAAGUUGUUAGCCUUAUUAAGAUGAGUUCUUUCUAUAUUCUAAAUACAAGUCCUUUGACAUAUAAAGUAGUUUUAAAGAUACUUUCCUAACCUAUCUGAAACAGGGGGAGGAGCCAAUUAGAUAAUGCUGUAACAGCCUAUGAAACUUAAGGACAGCCUUUCUUGAUAGAAAUAACAAUCCCGCUAUGUACAAGGAACAGUAAAACUGAGGCUAAGAGCAAUGCAAGGAUGGCACAUUUCCUAAGUACAGAGAUGACAGGAAGCCUCGGUUCAUGCCAUCUUGGAAAGUCUCUAGCAGUGAUGUGUGGAUGUCUGGUCUCCCAUGAGAUUCCUCUGAUUCUGCAUCUUCCUCAACACUACUCAUCAGCUUGUGUCAUGAUUAUCAUUCCUGAGCCCUUGCUUAAGUUUUGGAUCAAUUUCUUUGCUCUGAUCUCUAUGGAUUUCCUGAUUCCUAAAACACUGGGUUUUGAGCUUCCUGCACCAAGAUGUAUGUUUUCGUUUUCUUGUGUGACUUGCUGCUUACUCUGAGUCCUGUCUUAGUUCCAACUUCUUUCCCACCACCUGGCUCUGACUCAUGUCUUGCUUUUAUCUCCAAGGUCAAGACGUGCUUCUGCUCUGGGCAGUCUGCAUAGCUUUAGGCCCUUGGUACCGUCUUGGGUCUAGCCCACUUACUUUUAUUCCCUGCAUGUUCUGGCUUGCUCAUGACCUAUAAGACCUGGUUCCUCAUUCCUUAGCCUAGAGAUAAUAUUAUGAAGGAUGAGGUGGAUUCUGUUUCCCAGGAUAAAAUAUUAGCUUUGGCAUUUAAGGUCUUUACCAACUGACUUCUUGUCUUCUUUCCCUAUCUACUUGUAGUUGAUUCAUAAAUAAAUGUCCCAACAGGAAAACAUAGUUAUAUCUUUCCCCAUUAAAUGGGCAUCAAUAGAAAAUUGUAACCCAGGACCAAAAGAGUUGACAAUAUACUGCUAUUUCAAUGACAAGUUAUUCUGAGCUAGAAGAAUGAAUCUGGGCCCAUGUGAUUUCUGACUCAUACCUUCGUUCAUUCAUUCAUUUAGCAUUUACUGGUCACUUGCAAAGUGUUGAGUUUGGAACUGAAAAUAUAAACAACUCAGCUGCAAAACCUUAUUCUGAGGUGUUCACUGACUGGUGAGGAAAGCCAACAGAUAAAGAAAUUUCCAUCCACAAUAUAAGUGCUACAGUGCAGGUACAAGGUGCCACAGAAGUUCAGGGGAGAAGCGGAAUGUUUAUUCCUGGAAGCCAUCAGGAUAUUGACAGUGAUGCUGAUAUUUCUCUGGAAAAGUAUUAUUUGAACAGUGGAUGUGUUAAAGGAUAGGUAGGAAGAUGACAGAAAGAUGAGGAAGACAGGGAACAGUAGAAACAAAAACAUGUUCCUCCAAAUCGUUCACCUCCCAAGAUGCUAGAAAUACUUGGCUAUAGAAAUCCUAGCUAAGUCAUGCUGGGAUGGAGUAUCUCCCACUGCACUACUAUUUGAGGUGAGUACAUGGAGGAGAAUAUUGGUAAAUAAGCAAGACAUGGAUCAUCUCAGUCCCAGAGCACCCCAUACUGUUCCUUCUUAACAGUAGCCAGUUCGAUUGACUAAACUUUGUGCCUUGUCCACUGAGCUCUGAAAACAAAGCCCAGGUCUGUUUUGCGGUCUGUUACAAUACUAAAGCCUGUGACUGUAGGUACUUGGUAUUUGUUAAAGAGUUGGGUGCAUGAUGCCGUGAACACCAGAUGGGGGAGAAUGGCCCUGUCUCUGCAGGCAAAUCACUUGCCCUGGCUGACAGGGCAUUCUAAACGUUGAUUUCUAGCUUUCCAUUGCUAUCCUGUGUUAGCGUUUUGCUUCUUUCUCUGCAUAUUCAGAAUCAUUUAAACCACUAAAAUUUGAAGGUGAUCUUAGAAUAUUUUGUGCCUGUUUGAGAAAAGACUUUGGGGGAAAUUCUUUUGUAACAGGAAAUUUAAAAUAGCAUUUUCCUAGGACUGACUCAUACUACUUUUCCUUACAGAGGCUGCUCUUAGGGGAAGGGAUCCCUAUGUAGAAAUCUGACCCUGAACAGUGUAAAUGUAUUUGACAUCUAACAGAGCAUGAAAAUGGUUAGAUACAAUCACCCCAGCUGUCAGUUUGAAACUGUGCUACAAAAGCAACGAUAGAGUAAGUGACUUCUAUAAUUUCUGAAGAAACAACUAAAAGGGAACCUGCUGUUUUCUUGCAAAACUGCAUCCCCAGAGCAAAUGUACCAGCAGAACGGGCCUGAUCAGAAUGUGAAUGGACAGAAGGCAAAGAGCAAUGUGACAUCAGGGAAUUGCAAAUCAAACCUACAAUGAAAUAAUACUACCUCACACCUACUAGGACAACUAUAAUCAAAUAGAUAAUAACAAAUGCUGAUGAGGAUGUGGAGAAAUUGGAACCCUCAGACACUGCUAAUGAGCAUUUAAAUGGUGCAUCUGCUUUAGGUAACAGCCUGGCAGUUACAAAAAGUUAUAGAGUUACCUUAUAUACAUACACAUGUCAACUCGCACAUAAACACUCAAGGCAGCAUUACUCAUAAUACCUGUUAUGGUCUGAAUGUUUGUGUCACCCCCAAAUUUAUAUGUUGAAACCUAAUCCCCAAUGUGAUAGUAUUAAGAGGUAGGGCCUUUGGGAGGUGAUUAAGUCAUAAGAGUCAUCAUGAAUGGGAUGAAUGCCUUUAUAAAAGAGGCCAGAGGGAGUUUGUUUGCCCCCUUCACCAUGUGAAGAUGCAGCAAGAAAAUAUCAUCUAUGAAGCACAGAGUGAUCCCUCACCAGACGCUGAAUGUGCUCACUCCUUGAUCUUGGACUUCCCAGCCCCCAGAACUGUGAGCAAUAAAUUGCUGUUGUUUAUCAAUUA